UCUUCAUUUCCUACCCUCUCUCACCGGUCAGACAGGCGAGAGAGUGUGGACCAUGAAGAGA
rnacentral:pre_miRNA from 1 species